rfam:Myotis brandtii contig271309, whole genome shotgun sequence.
GGUGGUUCUCGGGUGAUGCAGCCAGGAAUUGGGCUCCCUCCUCUCUGGUUCCGGUUGCGUCACCCAAGAACCGCA